GCUCGGGACCCGACUGCUUUUCCCGCGGCACCGCUCGGUAUGGAGAGCCCCGCCUGCAGCCUGGGCUUUCUGCGGCUCUUCCUGCCCGUUUGCAGGUUGCAGACAAAACCCACGCUCAAGUGGAGGCGUCCUGAGUUUUCACCAGGGCCUGUCGCAGGGCCUCCAGGAAGCCAGUGGCCGGACCUCAGAGUCACACAGUGAUAGACUUGGACCUCCGUGGUUAUCACCAAAAGGAGGUUUCCAACACACUGUCACACUGGAUAUUAUGAAAUACUCCAAAAAUAAGAAGAGAGGUCACUAAAACUGUGUGUCAAAGAGGAAGUAUCCAGCUUCCAGGUGAUGCUGCUGAGUUUCCUCGACUCUCUAGAACAGUGAUUCUCAAACUGAGAUGCUUUGGGCCUCCAGCGGACACUUGGCAACAUUGUGGAGACAUCUCUGAUUGUUACAACUGGGGUGGUGCAACGAAGCGGAGGCCAGCAACGCCGCUAAGCAUCCUACCAUGCUCGGGACAGCCCCGCAUGACAAAGCAGUGUCUCGCCUAAAGGCAAUGGGGACAAAUCACAGCAGUCAUCUCAGAAAUCAGAGGGAGGCAUGGCCUGCCACCACCAGGGAUCUGUGAAUGGACUCCACCUGCGGCCCCAGUCCCUCUCAGAGAACGGCCAAGAAGAGGCACUGCAGCCGAGCACCACCCGUUGUUGCUGUCACUCCCCUGGGAACACACCCGCCCUGCUGUUACCACUGCCAAAUGCUCCAGGCACCACCUACAGAUGCAGAUCACUGUCACUUCCCAGGGCCCUGCAACUAGGAGUAGCCUGUGCAACACCUCAUGCAUGGGCUAAGCAGGACAGGAUGCUUCUUGUGUGGGCUGCAGGUGGUGGGGGCCAACCACUGCAGUUAUCUCUGUCUCCAGAGGUAGGCGUGGCCCACCACCACUAGGAGUCCGUGAACAGGCACCAUUUGUGGCUCCAGUCACCACAGAGGGCACCACAGAGGAGGGCAUUGUGACUGAACACCACCCGUUCCUACUCUCACUCCUCCGGGAACUCACACACCAUGUCGCUGCCACUGCCCAAUGCUCUGGGCACUGCCUAAAUCUGCCUGAGGCUCAUUACCAGGUCCUAGGGCCCUGAACUAGGAGUAGCUGGCACCACCUUCUGGAACGUUCUUGCUACUGUGAAGAAGCCAGCAACUACGUACUGACUACUAGCUGUGCCCAUUGCCUCCUUCUCCCUGGAAACACAAGCAGCACCCUAUCAAGGGGAUAAGAACCUGCUCACACUGGGGAAAGAGUCAGCAAAUAUCCAAACUCCCACACCAAAAAUAAAGAGUAAUCCCCCCCCCCAAAAAAAAAGGGGUGCUCUUACAUAGAAAUAGCCCUCCAACACUACAGUAGUUGGUUUCCCUAAAGUCACAGAAGAGGAAGAAUAUAAGCAAAAUGAAGACGCUCAGGAACCAUUCCCAGUUAAAAGAACAGGAGAAUUCACCCGAAAGAGCAAACAAUGAAACAGACUAAAGCAGUCUAGCAGAUACUGAGUUCAAAAAUUAGGUGGUGAAAAUACUGAAGUAAUUAAGAGUGAAUAUGAAGGAAUUAAGAGCAGAUAUGAACAGUAGUGCAGAUUAUUUUAGAAAAGAACUACAAAAUAUUGGAAAGAGCCAAGAAAAAUUAUAAAAUGCAUUUUCAGAGACAUGAGCUGAGUUAAAGGCAUUAAAGAGCAGAAUGAAUAAUGCAGAGGAAUGAAUUAGUGACUUGGAAGAUAGAAUAAUGGAAAUCACCCAAUCAGGACAGCAGGCAGAAAACUAAGUGAAAAAACAUGAAAGCAAUAUGAGGUCUAUGGGAUAAUAUAAAGUGGGCCAAUCUAUACAUAAUAGGGAUUCCAG
rnacentral:lncRNA from 1 species